rnacentral:pre_miRNA from 1 species
CAACUACUCCCUUCAUCCAACAAAAGAUGUCUCAAGUUUGUUAAAAUUUGGCUGUAUCUAGACAUAACUUAGUUGAUAGAUGCAUUCAAAUUUAGUCAAAGUUGUGACAUCCUUUGUUGGAUGGACGAAUAUUAU